rnacentral:rRNA from 1 species
ACUUACAACAAACAGUCCCGCCCCAACUGAUUACCAAAAACACAGCACUCUGAUAACCCGUAAGAGGAUGUAUAGGGUGUGACGCAUGCCCGGUGGCUCGAAGGUUAAGUGAUGGUGUUGAGCAUGAGCGAAGCGCUUUAUCGAAGCCCGAGUAAACGGCGGCCGUAACUAUAACGGUCAUAAAGUAGCGAAAUUCCUUAUCGGUUAAAUCCCGACCUGCAUGA